rnacentral:rRNA from 1 species
UACGUAGGGUGCAAGCGUUGUCCGGAUUCAUUGGGCGUAAAGAGCUCGUAGGCGGCUUAGUAAGUCAGGUGUGAAACCUCCAGGCUCAACCUGGAGACGCCACUUGAUACUGCUAUGGCUUGAGUUUGGUAGGGGUAAGCGGAAUUCCUGGUGUAGCGGUGAAAUGCGCAGAUAUCAGGAGGAACACCGAUGGCGAAGGCAGCUUACUGGGCCAAAACUGACGCUGAGGAGCGAAAGCGUGGGGAGCGAACAGG